GGACCCGCACAAGCGGUGGAGUAUGUGGUUUAAUUCGAUGCAACACGAAGAACCUUACCAGGGUUUGAAAUCAUUUCAAAACUCCUUGAAAGAGGAGCCUCCUUCGGGAUGAAAUGACAGGUGGUGCAUGGCUGUCGUCAGCUCGUGUUGUGAAAUGUCGAGUUAAGUCUCGUAACGAGCGCAACCCAUGUCUCUUGUUGCUCACUGAGUGCUUAAGAGAGACUGCCGACCAACAUCGGAGGAAGGUGUGGAUGAUGUCAAGUCAGCAUGCCCCUUACAUCCUGGGGCUACACACGUACUACAAUGGUAGGGACAGAGGGCAGCCACCUGGUGACAGGGAGCG
rnacentral:rRNA from 1 species